rnacentral:lncRNA from 1 species
AGUUUGACAUGAUCGGACAAUCUGUGGUUGCUGCGUAUAUGGCGUAAGUAAUUUUUUCAUAUUUGUUUAUUCUUUGCACUUUGCAUAUUCGACAACCAUAUUGUCCAAUCUGAAUUAUUUUCAUUUUCGAUAUGAUGUAGGUACUUGCAUCAUUUAUGUUAUAAGGACCGGAAGAAGGAUGACGCGCUCUUGUUUGGCUUUUUGGAUCUUGCAUCCACAUAUACCCUCAAUAAAGAAUUUCAAAAUGCUGUGGUCAAACGGUUGAUGGAUAAUUAUUAUCGACUAUAUCUCAUGCCACAUAAUCAAAUGUACGUAUAUUUGUUGUUGUUAUAUUUUAAUUUUUAGUCUAAAUAUUUAAAUUCUGACUUAGUUUGUAUUUUAUAAUAAAAACAGGGCCCAUUGGAUUUUGGUUG